GAUGAACGCUGGCGGCGUGCCUAAUACAUGCAAGUCGAGCGAAUGGAUUAAGAGCUUGCUCUUAUGAAGUUAGCGGCGGACGGGUGAGUAACACGUGGGUAACCUGCCCAUAAGACUGGGAUAACUCCGGGAAACCGGGGCUAAUACCGGAUAACAUUUUGAACCGCAUGGUUCGAAAUUGAAAGGCGGCUUCGGCUGUCACUUAUGGAUGGACCCGCGUCGCAUUAGCUAGUUGGUGGGGUAACGGCUCACCAAGGCAACGAUGCGUAGCCGACGUGAGGGGGGGAACGGCCACAAUGGUACUGAGACACGGCCCAAACUCCGACGGGGGGGAGCAGUAGGGAAUCUUUCGCAAUGGACGAAAGUCUGACGGAGCAACGCCGCGUGAGGGAUGAAGGCUUUCGGGUCUUAAAACUCGGUUGUUAGGGAAGAACAAGUGCUAGUUGAAUAAGCUGGCACCUUGACGGUACCUAACGAGAAAGCCACGGCCAACUACGUGCCAGCCGCCGCUGUAA
rnacentral:rRNA from 1 species